GUCCCAACCCCCGGCGGGGUCGUUUCCCGACUGGAUGUAUAGGCGUUUCUUGCCAUCGUCCUCGCCCUUUACCCAGUUCACGAUCGAUACGUGGACGACCGCGUCGCCUGACCACGGCAUAGUCGAGACCGCUUCGGUGAUCGUGCCAUCAUGCUUGACGAUAUGGUCAAGGCCGCUGAUGCGGGAAUAAUUCUGGCGAAUCGUGUUUGUGCCGACCAGGCCCGCCCUCUGACCCGGCUUAAG
rnacentral:misc_RNA from 1 species